GCAACGCGCAGAACCUUACCAGCCCUUGACAUCCCGGUCGCGGUUUCCAGAGAUGGAUUCCUUCAGUUCGGCUGGACCGGUGACAGGUGCUGCAUGGCUGUCGUCAGCUCGUGUCGUGAGAUGUUGGGUUAAGUCCCGCAACGAGCGCAACCCUCGCCUUAGUUGCCAUCAUUCAGUUGGGCACUCUAAGGGGACUGCCGGUGAUAAGCCGAGAGGAAGGUGGGGAUGACGUCAAGUCCUCAUGGCCCUUACGGGCUGGGCUACACACGUGCUACAAUGGUGGUGACAGUGGGCAGCGAGACCGCGAGGUCGAGCUAAUCUCCAAAAGCCAUCUCAGUUCGGAUUGCACUCUGCAACUCGAGUGCAUGAAGUUGGAAUCGCUAGUAAUCGCGGAUUAGCAUGCCGCGGUGAAUACGUUCCCGGGCCUU
rnacentral:rRNA from 1 species